rnacentral:rRNA from 1 species
UACGUAGGCAGCGAGCGUUGUUCGGAGUUACUGGGCGUAAAGGGUGUGCAGGUGGCGCCGUAAGUCGGGUGUGAAAUUUUAGAGCUUAACUCUGAAACUGCAUUCGAUACUGCGGUGCUUGAGGACUGGAGAGGAGACUGGAAUUUACGGUGUAGCAGUGAAAUGCGUAGAUAUCAGUAGGAACACCAAUGGCGAAGGCAGCUUGCUGGCAUGUAUCUGACGCUAAGGCACGAAAGCGUGGGGAGCGAACAGG